GUUAUGAACCAAGUCCAACCCAAUAUCGAUAUUAAGGUCACACAAGUAGUUAUUGGGCUGACAAGAGCUAUUGGGCCGAAAGCAAGCAAUAGGUCCAGUUUUAUUUGGGAUCCAGGCCCAUUUACACUUUGUUAAAAAGGACUAGGAGUUAGAAGAAUGGGGAUGAAAAACUAUUAUGUGAAGCUUUGGCUUUCUGAUCCUCUCAUCUCCUUUCUAUGGUCUUGUAUCUCAUCCCUUUCUGGUUACUUCUUUCUCGAUUUAUCUCUCCUUAGUUAGUGUAUUAUUACUUUGUUGUGCGUAUUCUACAUUAUAACUUGUAUUCAGUGAUUAAUAUAUAUAAGAGUGCUUCUGCUGGAAUUGAGUUUGUUA
rnacentral:lncRNA from 1 species